UGCCCACAGCAGGGUGGUGGUUUGUGAAGCUGCUCCUUCCUGCAUCCCAGACCUGUGGCUACAAAGCUCCAAGCUGAGAAACACCCUGUCCUGGUGGUGGUUGGCAGUUUCCCUCCCCUUCUGCCAGCCAGCUGGAGAUAAUGCUUCCCUUGGGAAGGCAGGAAGGAUCAGCAGAAACCAAAGAUCUGAAGCCCAUCAAGGCCAAUUAGGUGGUUAUUGACUUCAGAGCACUUUGAACUGACUCUGCAAAUAGCACCAUUAGCCCAAGUGGCCCAAGCAACUCUUCUGUCUGCAUGCCUUCAGAGAUCUGUCUACACUCCUCUGAAGAUGCAAGUUCAGCUUUGCUCUCAUUUACUCCUGGGUGAAGGCGAGAUCACAACGUAUUUAUUUUUAGAUGUAGUAUACCUACGUUAAUACAAAAUGUACCUUUCGUUUCACACACGCAUACAGAAGAGGAAGUGUAACACCCUGCCAAACACACUGGUUUCUUUUCAUUUAUCAGCAAUGUGAGAGAAGAAAUAAUCCAUUUUAUGUUUUAUUGUGUUUGUUUGUCAUCUGAUUUAGUACUUAUCUGUUAUGCCUAAUUACUUUAAAAGAAUUCUAGUUCUUGGUCACAAAAUCUAUGAAUAAAAGAUGUUCACAUACACCAUCUAGGCCAGGUGUCACAACUCGGUGCAGAGAUCCACACCACAAGAUACUUCUGAUUUUAAUUACUAUGUGAAUGGAUACACUGAUUACAUGAAAAAUCAAUAAAAUAUUAAUCAGAUAAAGCAAGACAGCAGGUGGCCAAACAUAUUAAUAAGGCGUAUGUCUGCAAAACACAAACAUAUCUCUGCAAACAGGAGGGGCAUGCUCAUGGUAUCACUAGAUGUACUCUAUCACUGAAACAGCCCGUCACCAAAGUGUCACCAUGCAAAGCUGUUUAAUUUUUAAGCAAGGGUGGGUGCAUUUUCUGUUUAAUCCACUUAGGGACUCACUGGUUCUACUUCCUGUCUGGAAACACGCUUCCCAGACAGGUCAGCGGAGUUUUUUUCUGCCUGAGGUGGGCAAGACUGAAAUCAUUAAGGUCAGUGUACUAAGACAAAGCAAAACAAAACAAAACAGAAUUUAUGCUCCUUCUUAAUGCAUUAUAAUGUGUUAAAAAAGACUCACAGCUCUUUUUUCUGUGUUUGUUUCACUUUGGGAAUAUCAGAAAUAUCAAGAGAGCACACACUCUUGCAGUCUCUCCCAGCCAUUCUGGGUCAGCUUGUUUAACUGCUUCCAAAAUCCAUCUGUGGUUUCAGAAACGAAUACCAAAACUGUACCUGGCCUAGCCAAAUAAAAUGUGUAGUUUCUUAAUUCAUAGGCAGACAUAGAGCAAGCAGUCUCGACUUCUUAAUAGGCAUUUGUGCGACUGACAAGCCAAAUUUAUUCAUCAGCAUCCUGCAGCCGGGGACUGGGCUCUGCUCAGAAGCCAAGCUGCUCGGCACAAGGAGGAUCUCUCAGUGCCCGCUUGGCACCCUGGGUACAAACUGAUGUGCAGGCUGAGUGACAGGCCUGGAAAUAUCUCCCUGGUAAUGUUUUGAGGCUUGGGCUUUUUCCUGUGCUGUGUUUUGCAGAGGAGUGGGAUCUGGCGUGAGACACGCUUUGUUCUUCUCAUGUGAGCUGAGCUCUCCUCCCAUUUCCCCUCUCAGAUCCCUUUGCAGGAUAUGUUUUUAUUGCACCCUCGCUCUCCUCAGUUCAAGCAGUUAUUCAUUUCCUGACUGUAUGUGACCAGAUGCGUGGCUGUUGUCAGUGGUGUAAAUCCUCAGCCUUCAGUUGAACUAAAAAUCAUCCUGUGGUGUUUGAUGUGCCAUGUUAAUGGGACAUGGCUGUUUUGAGAUUUCUGACUUUCACAGAACAAAACACUUCAUCUGCGCCUUUAGGAAAUAACAAUAACUCAUUAAGACCACGACCUCAUGUUUCUCUUUAAAUACAGAUGUUAUUCAAUGUAGAGCUCUAGACUGGUUCUGACAAUACAUUUUUUUGUUCCUUCUCUGUACAAAAUUGAAUAAUGUAUCUCCCUGAGUCUCCUUUUACUCAAGCAGCAAAGGUUGCUCUGAUGUCAGCUGCAGGGGUGAGAUGUAAUGUGGAUAGCUGUGAAAUCCCCUUUGACAGUUACAACCAAAGUGAAAAUAUCCUUCAAAUCCAAAAAAAUCUUUCCUCACAUAUAGGCUUCCACAGUUUUGUAAUUGUAACUGCUAAAUCUGAGUGCUUCAGACAGACACUGGACUUUUGAGAGACACAAAUUCUUCUCUGGAAUCUUUUAAAAUUCA